rnacentral:rRNA from 1 species
AGCAGAGGAAAGUUUUUUCGCUUCACGAUGAGCCUGCGGCCUAUUAGCCUGUUGGUAGGGUAAUGGCCUACCAAAGCUACGAUAGGUAGCCGACCUGAGAGGGUGACCGGCCACAUUGGGACUGAGAUACGGCCCAGACUCCUACGGGAGGCAGCAGCUGAGAAUCUUCCACAAUGGACGAAAGUCUGAUGGAGCGACAUCGCGUGAGGGAUGAAGGCCUUCGGGUUGUAAACCUCGGAAAUUAUCGAAGAAUGAGUGACAGUAGAUAA